ensembl:lncRNA
GCGAUACCCAGCUGAGGAGCCACGGUUCCCUUUGGCGACGCAUUGGUGGCACCGCACCUGACGUGUGUCGUGCCCCCCCCUCGCCCCCACCUGACCCUCCGCCAUUAGACUCCGGCUGCCUUUGAGUAGUGACAAAUACUCCGAAGCACCUCUCUGGCAAGUCAAGCAGAAAACAUUUUCCAGGGCUUAAUAUUGAGCGGAUUGAUUCGACUUUCAUUAAUAAAGAUCAGAUAGAUCGGCUGAUUAUUAUUUUCUCUCUCUAUCUGUCUGAGGAUUGGGGACCAAGGAAAGGACGGAUGGAUACGAGGGCCUCGGCAUCGCCUCCUCACAGCGGCGCGAACGAGUGGCGAUGAGCGGCAGCGUCAUUGACCUCCGGCCCGGGGCUGAAAGUCCCGCCCCCUUCCUCGCCGUCAGCCUCCGUCAGAGACGCUCUGCUACCAGUGAUGAGGAGGAAGGCUCAAAGAAAC